CCCCACCCCUUAGUUCACCUCUUUCUACGCACUGAGCUCACUGGAAUUGAAACAAAUGGCAUCCGGCCUCCACAGCAGCAGUUCCUGAAGGAGAAGAGGCCAAGCUGCAUGGAGAGCAGGAUCUGAGGCUUUGUGGAAACAAGGAGAAAGGGGACUGAUCCCAUUACCCAGCAAGCAGCCGAUGUCAGGAGAAGUCCAACCACAUGAUAUAGAAAGGAAGAAAUGACUGAGUUCUGAAAUCAAACCCCAGUCUUCAGCAGAAGGCACAAAAGGAGAGAG